CGAACGCUGGCGGCGUGCUUAACACAUGCAAGUCGAACGCGAAAGGGACUUCGGUCCUGAGUAAAGUAGGCGCACGGGUGAGUAACGCGUAGAUAACCUGUCUUCAUGUCUGGAAUAAUACGCCGAAAGGGGUACUAAUACCGGAUAUUCUUGCUUUUCAUAAGUUAUGCAAGCAAAGGUGGCCUCUGCAUAUGCUACUGCAUGAAGAGGGGUCUGCGUACCAUUAGCUAGUAGGUGGGGUAAUGGCCUACCUAGGCGACGAUGGUUAGCGGGUCUGAGAGGAUGAUCCGCCACACUGGCACUGGAACACGGGCCAGACUCCUACGGGAGGCAGCAGUGAGGAAUAUUGCGCAAUGGGGGAAACCCUGACGCAGCGACGCCGCGUGAGUGAGGAAGGCCUUCGGGUCGUAAAGCUCUGUCAAGAGGAAAGAAGUGUACAAUGGCUAAUACCUGUUGUAUUUGACGGUACCUCUAAAGGAAGCACCGGCUAACUCCGUGCCAGCCGCCGC
rnacentral:rRNA from 1 species